GUUUUACGCAACGACACGGUUUUUUAAAUUCACUACUACUCGGGUGGGAAACAAGAAUAAAGUGUAAAAGUGGGUGAUAAAAUCAAGUGAAUCCCAACGUAACAAUUCAGUAGCAGUAAACCUGAAACUCCAUGCUUCAAGCAAGCCAAUUUGACACAAGUCUAAAGACGGAGUAAUAAUUCUCCCCCGUCUGUACGACAACGCCACUUGGGCCACUCACGCGAGUGAUUCACCUCGGGUUUUGACUGCAACACCGAGUGGUAUACCAGUGAGAGAGAAAUCAGACGCUUGUAAACACUCGCCGCUGCAGAACCAGUGGUUCUCCACGCUUGUAUGGCUGAACAAGCGUAAAUUGUUGGGCAUCUUUCUUGUUUUUUGGUGAUACUGCCAAGUGCCGGGGGUGCAGGCCAGGAAUUCAUGAGAGAACAAAAGAGCAGUCGUUCAUCAGGUUGUCGCCACUCUGACCAGCGUCAUUUCGCUCGGUGAAUUAUACUGCUCAUUCAUGCCGGGGCCACGCCAAUAUGAGAAAUUUUAUGGGUUCGUAGGGGAAUGGAACAACUAGCGCCUUCAAGACGUCUAAUUUAAGGAUGUACUAGAAAAUUCAAACAGAAAUGUACCAAAAUAAAUUACAAUGUAGAAAUACCAAAUGUAAAUUCAAAUAGAAUUAAAAUUUAGAGAGAAAAAAAUCCCGAUCCACCAGCCGGCAUUCGAACCCGGGUCUUCCAGUUAGGCGCCAUCAUAUUACAGAUGAUGGAGUUCCUUCAUUUUUGACACAUUUGAUGAUUUGCGUUGAGA